UACUGCGGGAGUUCUAUGAUAUGUUCUAUUUCAUCCUUACUGACCACCAGAGGCAGUGCUAAACACUGAAUAUAUU